rnacentral:rRNA from 1 species
CCCUUCAGAAGCGGCGAGUGAAGCGGCAAAAGCUCAAAUUUGAAAUCUGGCGUCUUUGGCGUCCGAGUUGUAAUUUGAAGAAGGUAUCUUUGGGCCCGGCUCUUGUCUAUGUUCCUUGGAACAGGACGUCACAGAGGGUGAGAAUCCCGUGCGAUGAGAUGACCCGGGUCUGUGUAAAGUUCCUUCGACGAGUCGAGUUGUUUGGGAAUGCAGCUCUAAGUGGGUGGUAAAUUCCAUCUAAAGCUAAAUAUUGGCGAGAGACCGAUAGCGAACAAGUACAGUGAUGGAAAGAUGAAAAGAACUUUGAAAAGAGAGUGAAAAAGUACGUGAAAUUGUUGAAAGGGAAGGGCUUGAGAUCAGACUUGGUAUUUUGCAUGCUGCUCUCUCGGGGGCGGCCGCUGCGGUUUACCGGGCCAGCAUCGGUUUGGAGCGGCAGGAUAAUGGCGGAGGAAUGUGGCACGGCUUCUGCUGUGUGUUAUAGCCUCUGACGAUGCUGCCAGCCUAGACCGAGGACUGCGGUUUUUAACCUAGGAUGUUGGCAUAAUGAUCUUAAGUCGCCCGCUAAAAACACGGCGCGACACACA